rnacentral:rRNA from 1 species
GAUGAACGCUGGCGGCGUGCCUAAUACAUGCAAGUCGAGCGAACGGACGAGAAGCUUGCUUCUCUGAUGUUAGCGGCGGACGGGUGAGUAACACGUGGAUAACCUACCUAUAAGACUGGGAUAACUUCGGGAAACCGGAGCUAAUACCGGAUAAUAUUUUGAACCGCAUGGUUCAAAAGUAAAAGACGGUCUUGCUGUCACUUAUAGAUGGAUCCGCGCUGCAUUAGCUAGUUGGUAAGGUAACGGCUUACCAAGGCAACGAUGCAUAGCCGACCUGAGAGGGUGAUCGGCCACACUGGAACUGAGACACGGUCCAGACUCCUACGGGAGGCAGCAGUAGGGAAUAUUCCGCAAUGGGCGCAAGCCUGACGGAGCAACGCCGCGUGAGUGAUGAAGGUCUUCGGAUCGUAAAACUCUGUUAUUAGGGAAGAACAUAUGUGUAAGUAACUGUGCACAUCUUGACGGUACCUAAUCAGAAAGCCACGGCUAACUACGUG